GCGCGCGCGGGGCGGGGCGGGGCCUCCCGUCCAACGGGGCGGGGCUUCGGCACGCGUCCUGUGUUGGGGGGCGGGUUGCGUUCCAGCGCGACUGCGCGCCCGUAGGCGCUGGUUUUGCUGCCUCUGGGAAGGGGCAGGGGCGUGGGCCCGAAGAAUCCGACAGGCGCCGCCUCUUUUGUCGGUUAGUCCCAGAAAGGCUUUUUUUGCUCUCCCAGGUAAUUCCAUCUCACCAACUCCCAUUUUUUUUUCUGCGUCUCUCUUGAGAGUGAACCCUGCGCUGACCCUAGGUAGGGCAUUCUGGUUUGCAGCCUCCGGACUGCUGGCACAGAAUACCAACUAAAGCCUAACUUUUUAUUCCUAGUAAGUUUAAAUGCAGAACUGUAAAUUCCAAGGGAAUGAGCAGUACCAGUGACUGUCAGCAAUACUUGCAACAGAUUUUUUUUUCUUGACUCUCCCGCCCCACUUCCCCCACAUGAAAGGUCUCUCUGUGUAGCCUUGGCUGUCCUGGAACUUGCUCUGCAGACCAAGCUGGCCUCAAACUCAGAGAGUCACCUGCCUCUGCCUCCCGAGUGCUGGGAUUAAGGGCACGUGCCACCAUAGCCAGCAACAGAUGUUUUCAUGGGGAGAUCUCAAAAUAUUUACGGUUAUCACCAAUUGAAGUUAUGUGUAUUGUUAAAUUUACUGCUGUUAGAUCAUCGUGGUUUUUUUAAUGUAGCGCUAGGCGUUUUUUUUUCUUGUUUGUUUGUUUGUUUGUUUGUUUGUUUGUUUUUUAAGAGGCAGAGCCUUGGCUAUUCUUGACUCACUUUGUAGAUCAGGCUGGCCUGGAACUCGCCUGCCUCAGCCUCCCUGAGUGUGGGGAUUACAGGUGUGGGCCAUCACUCCCGGAUGUAGCUCUACAAUUUAAACAUAAUUGGUUUUGUUUUUUGUUUUAAUAAUUGUAUGUGUGUGACACAGAGUCUCACUGUGAAUCCCUGGCUGGCCUAGGACUUGCCAAGAUGAUGAAGCUGGCUUCAAAGUCACAGAGAUCUGCUUGCUUUUACCCUAAAGUAAACGGGUAAACUCCAUGCCUGGUAGCAAACUGGUUGAUGAGCUGUGGCCUCCUUGUCCAUGGGUCGUUCUGACUCAGCAGGAGGAACUGGCUCCAGAUGCCUGCUUUGAGCUGCCUCUUCCUCGCCCUGAUCUCACCUGCCAUGAGUGAGACCCCUUUGUGGCAGACUGGCCGACACAUGGCUGUUCCCCAGCCUAAUCCAGGUGGUGGAGCCCUUCCGCUUUGCCGUGUAACCAGUCCUCUACCAACGCCCCUUUGCUGCAGAGUCUAACCAGGCAGGCAAGGCUACCUCACACUUAAAGAACAGAGUCUCCCAGACCAGAUUACAAUGUGUGAAUUGCAGGAACGUUUUGCCUGUAUAAAUGUGUGUAUGGAGUGCUUACAGAGGCCAGAGACGUUUUUGUAUCUCCUGGAACUGGAGUUACAGAUGGUUGUGCACUGCCUUGCAGGAAUGGAGAAUCGAACCCAGGUCUCUGUGAAAGAGCAGCCAGUUGCUUUUAACCUCUGAGCCAUCUCUCUACACCCUCCCCCUUGUAAAAGGUUUUUGAAAGCUUGUGGACAGUUGCAUUUACUGAGAAGUAUUCAGAAUGUCCCCCCCAAACAGCUGCAAACUUUCCCAUUACUGUUCAGUGACUAGAACAAAUAUUUCUUUUGUAUAUUAGUUGUGGAUGAUGGUUUAUGCGUCUUCAGCUCUGCAGACAUGCAUGAUUUGUUGUGACAUCUACUUCAGGCCAUUGCUGCCUUGACUUCCCCACAGGAUGGACUUAAAAAAUACCGGUAGUUACUUACGGGAACAGAAAUGGCUCACAGACAGCUGCACCACCAAAGCCCACACCAACAUGGAUGGCAGGUCACGGAGACGGGCACCUGGAGCUCACUGCACAGCCUGCAGGCAUCUCAUCAGGGUUGUAAGCUCCAGGAGCUCCGAGGUGCGGUUCCAUUCAUGCUUUUCAGGACCGCUCAGAAUAGAGGCAGUUAGUUUAUUUAUGGUGCUGACAUCAUUAAAUAGUCCAUUGCUGUGUCUGGAUUUGGAAUCACCUAGAAAAUGUCCUGGGUGUGUCUCUGAGGGCUUUUCCACAGAAGUUUCACCGGGUAGGAAAGAUCCGUCCCAUGAGCUGUGUCCCAGACCGAAUAAAACAGAGCAAGCGAGCUAGGCACCAGUGUUAAUCUCUACUUUCCACCCCACCACCAUGCCUCCUUGUUGUGGUGGUCUGUGUCACCUUAAAUCACCAGCCAGAAUAGGCCCUUCCUUCCUCAAGUUGCUUUGUGGGAUGUUUCACCACCUCAAUGAGAAAAGUAGCGAUGAAACUCAAAUGUGUUGAGGGUCCCUGUGAGACUUCUAAAGCACUUGGGUUUGCUUCUGUCAAUUUCUUUAGUUAUUCCCAAAUAAUUAAAUUGUGAUUUUGGGGCUGGAGAGUUAGCUCAGAAAUUAAGAGCACGGCUUGUUCUUCCAGAGGUCCUUAGUUCAAUUCCCAGCAAUCGCAUGGUGGCUCACAACCAUCUAGAAUGAGAUCUGGCGCCCUCUUCUGGCACUCAGGUGUACA